rnacentral:rRNA from 1 species
CUACGGGCGGCACCAGUAAGGAAUAUUGCGCAAUGGAGGCAACUCUGACGCAGCCAUGCCGCGUGCAGGAAGAAGGCCUUAUGGGUCGUAAACUGCUUUUAUUUAGGAAUAAACCCCCGAACGUGUUCGGGGCUGAAGGUACUAAACGAAUAAGCACCGGCUAACUCCGUGCCAGCAGCCGCGGUAAUACGGAGGGUGCAAGCGUUAUCCGGAUUUAUUGGGUUUAAAGGGUGCGCAGGCGGGCUAUUAAGUCAGUGGUGAAAUCCCGGGGCUCAACUCCGGAACUGCCAUUGAUACUGAUAGUCUUGAGUUUGGUUGAAGUGGGCGGAAUGUAGCAUGUAGCGGUGAAAUGCAUAGAUAUGCUACAGAACACCAAUCGCGAAGGCAGCUCACUAAGCCAAAACUGACGCUCAUGCACGAAAGCGUGGGGAUCAAACAGGAUUAGAUACCCGCGUAGUC